GUGUAUGGCCAUGCUACCCUGAACGAGUCUGAUCCCAUCUGAUCUUGGAAGCUAAGUAGGGUCAUGCCUGGUUAGUACUUGGAUGGGAGACCACCUAGGAAGACCAGGUGCUGUAGGCA
rnacentral:rRNA from 1 species